CAGGCCGCGAUAUUCCAGUGUGAACUCUUUCUAAAUUUUUUAAGUGUUAUAAAACAAAUGGCCUGUAGCAGAUGGUAGAAAAGGCAAAAUAAUAAUAGUGACGAUAAAUAAAUUAUUUUUUCCCUCAGGCAUAUUUUCCAAAUGCUAUAAUCAACGGUUAUAUGUUGGGUAACGUCUCCAUAGAAGCUCUUAACUGGCAUUACUGGAAAUGCACCUUGGCAAUAUU
rnacentral:lncRNA from 1 species